rnacentral:rRNA from 1 species
UACGGAGGGGGCUAGCGUUGUUCGGAAUUACUGGGCGUAAAGCGCACGUAGGCGGCUUUGUAAGUUAGAGGUGAAAGCCCAGGGCUUAACCCUGGAAUUGCCUUUAAGACUGCAUCGCUAGAAUCGUGGAGAGGUGAGUGGAAUUCCGAGUGUAGAGGUGAAAUUCGUAGAUAUUCGGAAGAACACCAGUGGCGAAGGCGGCUCACUGGACACGUAUUGACGCUGAAACACGAAAGCGUGGGUAGCAAACAGG